UAGGGAAUCUUCCGCAAUGGGCGAAAGCCUGACGGAGCAACGCCGCGUGAGUGAUGAAGGUCUUCGGAUCGUAAAACUCUGUUAUCAGGGAAGAACAAAUGUGUAAGUAACUGUGCACAUCUUGACGGUACCUGAUCAGAAAGCCACGGCUAACUACGUGCCAGCAGCCGCGGUAAUACGUAGGUGGCAAGCGUUAUCCGGAAUUAUUGGGCGUAAAGCGCGCGUAGGCGGUUUUUUAAGUCUGAUGUGAAAGCCCACGGCUCAACCGUGGAGGGUCAUUGGAAACUGGUUGACUUGAGUGCAGAAGAGGAGAGUGGAAUUCCAUGUGUAGCGGUGAAAUGCGUAGAUAUAUGGAGGAACACCAGUGGCGAAGGCGACUCUCUGGUCUGUAACUGACGCUGAGGCUCGAAAGCGUGGGUAGCAAACAGG
rnacentral:rRNA from 1 species